rnacentral:rRNA from 1 species
UUUUAUGAGAGUUUGAUCCUGGCUCAGGACGAACGCUGGCGGCGUGCCUAAUACAUGCAAGUCGAACGCUUCUUUUUCCACCGGAGCUUGCUCCACCGGAAAAAGAGGAGUGGCGAACGGGUGAGUAACACGUGGGUAACCUGCCCAUCAGAAGGGGAUAACACUUGGAAACAGGUGCUAAUACCGUAUAACAAUCAAAACCGCAUGGUUUUGAUUUGAAAGGCGCUUUCGGGUGUCGCUGAUGGAUGGACCCGCGGUGCAUUAGCUAGUUGGUGAGGUAAC